rnacentral:piRNA from 1 species
CACUGUUCUUAAGUAGCUUUUCUCCUGAAA